rnacentral:rRNA from 1 species
CCCUUAGAUGUCCUGGGCCGCACGCGCGUUACACUGAUGCAUUCAACGAGCUUAUAACCUUGGCCGAGAGGCCUGGGCAAUCUUGUUAACGUGCAUCGUGAUAGGGAUAGAUUAUUGAAAUUAUUAAUCUUGAACGAGGAAUUCCUAGUAAACGCAGAUCAUCAAUCUGCAUUGAUUACGUCCCUGCCCUUUGUACACACCGCCCGUCGCAACUACCGAUUGGAUGGUCCGGUGAAGCCUCGGGAUUGUGGUUCUUGCCGCUUUAUUGUGGCGUGACCGCGAGAACUUGUCUAAACCUUAUCAUCUAGAGGAAGGUGAAGUCGUAACA